rnacentral:rRNA from 1 species
CCUACGGGAGGCAGCAGUGAGGAAUAUUGGUCAAUGGACGAGAGUCUGAACCAACCAAGUAGCGUGAAGGAUGACUGCCCUAUGGGUUGUAAACUUCUUUUAUAUGGGAAUAAAACGUUCCACGUGUGGGAUUUUGUAUGUACCAUAUGAAUAAGGAUCGGCUAACUCCGUGCCAGCAGCCGCGGUAAUACGGAGGAUCCGAGCGUUAUCCGGAUUUAUUGGGUUGAAAGGGAGAGUAGGUGGAUUGUUAAGUCAGUUGUGAAAGUUUGCGGCUCAACCGUAAAAUUGCAGUUGAAACUGGCAGUCUUGAGUACAGUAGAGGUGGGCGGAAUUCGUGGUGUAGCGGUGAAAUGCUUAGAUAUCACGAAGAACUCCGAUUGCGAAGGCAGUUCACUGGACUGCAACUGACACUGAGGCUCGAAAGUGUGGGUAUCAAACAGGAUUAGAUACCCGGGUAGUC